rnacentral:rRNA from 1 species
CCGACGGUGAGAGGUGAAACCCUGGGACGCAAACCGGAUUAGAUACCCGGGUAGUCCAGGGCGUAAACGCUGCAGGCUUGGUGUUGGGGGCCCUACGUGGGCGCUCAGUGCCGGAGUGAAGAUGUUAAGCCUGCCGCUUGGGGAGUAUGUCCGCAAGGAUGAAACUUAAAGGAAUUGGCGGGAGAGCACAGCAACGGGAGGAGCGUGCGGUUCAAUUGGAUUCAACGCCGUAAAACUCACCGGGAGC